rnacentral:tRNA from 1 species
AGGCUCUGUAGCUCAGGUGGUUAGAGCGCACCCCUGAUAAGGGUGAGGUCGGUGGUUCAAGUCCACUCAGGCCUACCA